rnacentral:rRNA from 1 species
AGAGUUUGAUCCUGGCUCAGGAUGAACGCUGGCGGCGUGCCUAAUACAUGCAAGUCGAGCGAACGGACGAGAAGCUUGCUUCUCUGAUGUUAGCGGCGGACGGGUGAGUAACACGUGGAUAACCUACCUAUAAGACUGGGAUAACUUCGGGAAACCGGAGCUAAUACCGGAUAAUAUUUUGAACCGCAUGGUUCAAAAGUGAAAGACGGUCUUGCUGUCACUUAUAGAUGGAUCCGCGCUGCAUUAGCUAGUUGGUAAGGUAACGGCUUACCAAGGCAACGAUGCAUAGCCGACCUGAGAGGGUGAUCGGCCACACUGGAACUGAGACACGGUCCAGACUCCUACGGGAGGCAGCAGUAGGGAAUCUUCCGCAAUGGGCGAAAGCCUGACGGAGCAACGCCGCGUGAGUGAUGAAGGUCUUCGGAUCGUAAAACUCUGUUAUUAGGGAAGAACAUAUGUGUAAGUAACUGUGCACAUCUUGACGGUACCUAAUCAGAAAGCCACGGCUAACUACGUGCCAGCAGCCGCGGUAAUACGUAGGUGGCAAGCGUUAUCCGGAAUUAUUGGGCGUAAAGCGCGCGUAGGCGGUUUUUUAAGUCUGAUGUGAAAGCCCACGGCUCAACCGUGGAGGGUCAUUGGAAACUGGAAAACUUGAGUGCAGAAGAGGAAAGUGGAAUUCCAUGUGUAGCGGUGAAAUGCGCAGAGAUAUGGAGGAACACCAGUGGCGAAGGCGACUUUCUGGUCUGUAACUGACGCUGAUGUGCGAAAGCGUGGGGAUCAAACAGGAUUAGAUACCCUGGUAGUCCACGCCGUAAACGAUGAGUGCUAAGUGUUAGGGGGUUUCCGCCCCUUAGUGCUGCAGCUAACGCAUUAAGCACUCCGCCUGGGGAGUACGACCGCAAGGUUGAAACUCAAAGGAAUUGACGGGGACCCGCACAAGCGGUGGAGCAUGUGGUUUAAUUCGAAGCAACGCGAAGAACCUUACCAAAUCUUGACAUCCUUUGACAACUCUAGAGAUAGAGCCUUCCCCUUCGGGGGACAAAGUGACAGGUGGUGCAUGGUUGUCGUCAGCUCGUGUCGUGAGAUGUUGGGUUAAGUCCCGCAACGAGCGCAACCCUUAAGCUUAGUUGCCAUCAUUAAGUUGGGCACUCUAAGUUGACUGCCGGUGACAAACCGGAGGAAGGUGGGGAUGACGUCAAAUCAUCAUGCCCCUUAUGAUUUGGGCUACACACGUGCUACAAUGGACAAUACAAAGGGCAGCGAAACCGCGAGGUCAAGCAAAUCCCAUAAAGUUGUUCUUAGUUCGGAUUGUAGUCUGCAACUCGACUACAUGAAGCUGGAAUCGCUAGUAAUCGUAGAUCAGCAUGCUACGGUGAAUACGUUCCCGGGUCUUGUACACACCGCCCGUCACACCACGAGAGUUUGUAACACCCGAAGCCGGUGGAGUAACCUUUUAGGAGCUAGCCGUCGAAGGUGGGACAAAUGAUUGGGGUGAAGUCGUAACAAGGUAGCCGUAUCGGAAGGUGCGGCUGGAUCACCU